GCCGAUGAAGAGAAGAGUUCGCUGAUCCGAUGAUGAGCCCUAUGAGUCCUGAGG
rnacentral:ncRNA from 16 species